rnacentral:rRNA from 1 species
CCUACGGGCGGCAGCAGUGGGGAAUAUUGGACAAUGGGGGCGACCCUGAUCCAGCCAUGCCGCGUGUGUGAAGAAGGCCCUCGGGUUGUAAAGCACUUUCAGUGAGGAAGAACGCCUGGUGGUUAAUACCCAUCAGGAAAGACAUCACUCUCAGAAGAAGCACCGGCUAACUCCGUGCCAGCAGCCGCGGUAAUACGGAGGGUGCGAGCGUUAAUCGGAAUUACUGGGCGUAAAGCGCGCGUAGGUGGCUUGAUAAGCCGGUUGUGAAAGCCCCGGGCUCAACCUGGGAACGGCAUCCGGAACUGUCAAGCUAGAGUGCAGGAGAGGAAGGUAGAAUUCCCGGUGUAGCGGUGAAAUGCGUAGAGAUCGGGAGGAAUACCAGUGGCGAAGGCGGCCUUCUGGACUGACACUGACACUGAGGUGCGAAAGCGUGGGUAGCAAACAGGAUUAGAUACCCGAGUAGUC